CCCGCCGCGGACUUAGCGCGGCGUCGACAGCUGCGGCUGCUUCCCGAUCUGGCCAGACCCGAAGAAUCACCUGGAGCGAGGGACGGGCUGGAGAGGCCUCUGUUCCAGCUCGGAGAUGUCAAGGCUAGAACUCGUGGAUCAGGUUUAAGAACACCCAGAGCAUUCAGGAAGGAAAUUCUGGGUGGAAGACAUUGCGGAAGACCUGGACCUGUUGGCAUGAAAAACAAAAAUGGAGCGGACCACAGAGAAAGCAGUUAGAGUUACAUGAUGGAAGCCGCUGAAUGGAUACCUUGAGGCUUAAGUUCAAUUUUUGUUUUCAUUGCACUGUGAUCAGCCCGCAUACCAGCCAGCUAAUUCUCUUAUUGUGCUGAGACUUUGUGCCUGUAUUUUACACAGUUUUGUCAAUAUUUCAACGGCACUAGAAAAGCUGGUAUGUUCUUUGUAAGGGUAUUGGUAAGCUGCGCUCUUCCUGCAAAUCCGUUUUGUAUCUAUUCAUUCUAACUUUCUAGGCACAUUGUUCACGUCCUUACUUUCAACUGCUUGAUCUGACAUGGGAAGAAAAUGAAGAGUUUAAAAUUUCCCUAAUUGUUUUCCUGUCCAUUCGUUUCCUCGUCUGUCUGAAUUUCUGCUUUUUGUAUUAUGCUUCCCAGUUGGUUAGUGCAUAUCAUUUACCUGUUUAUGAUGACUCUUGUAAUUGCUUAAUACCUCCUGUAUCUCAUUAAAACAUACUCCUUAAA